CGCGGCUAACGGUGCGGGGCCCCUGCGAGAGCAUCAGAGACACCCAGUGACUCACGGGCCGGGGGUGCACGCGUGAGUGUGUCCGAGGGCAGAAAUUUCUGGAAAGGAGCAGAUCCUGGGACUGUCGCUAGACUGGUUUCUGAUCCUCCAGUCUUGAGGACAGAACUUGGCUCUGCUUUCUCAAGACUCUGCCCUUCAGGAAAGGAGCACAGAGAAAGGAGGGAGAAAUGGCGUCCUCAAUGCUGCCAGCCAGAUACCAGGUGAGUUAGGGUUUCUUCUCUCCUCAGAUGCCAUCUUCUUUCUCAGAGUGAGGACACUUGGCUUUCCUUUGUCC
rnacentral:lncRNA from 1 species